rnacentral:rRNA from 1 species
UACGAAGGGGGCUAGCGUUGUUCGGAAUCACUGGGCGUAAAGCGUAUGUAGGCGGAUUGUUAAGUCAGGGGUGAAAUCCCGAGGCUCAACCUCGGAACUGCCUUUGAUACUGGCUAUCUUGAGUCCGGGAGAGGUGAGUGGAACUCCUAGUGUAGAGGUGAAAUUCGUAGAUAUUAGGAAGAACACCAGUGGCGAAGGCGGCUCACUGGCCCGGAACUGACGCUGAAAUACGAAAGCGUGGGGAGCAAACAGG